UGGGGAAUUUUGGACAAUGGGGGAAACCCUGAUCCAACCAUCCCGCGUGUGCGAUGAAGGCCUUCGGGUUGUAAAGCACUUUUGGCAGGAAAGAAACGUCAUGGGUUAAUACCCCGUGAAACUGACGGUACCUGCAGAAUAAGCACCGGCUAACUACGUGCCAGCAGCCGCGGUAAUACGUAGGGUGCAAGCGUUAAUCGGAAUUACUGGGCGUAAAGCGUGCGCAGGCGGUUCGGAAAGAAAGAUGUGAAAUCCCAGAGCUCAACUUUGGAACUGCAUUUUUAACUACCGUGCUAGAGUGUGUAAGAGGGAGGUGGAAUUCCGCGUGUAGCAGUGAAAUGCGUAGAUAUGCGGAGGAACACCGAUGGCGAAGGCAGCCUCCUGGGAUAACACUGACGCUCAUGCACGAAAGCGUGGGGAGCAAACAGG
rnacentral:rRNA from 1 species